GGGACUGUAGUUCAGUUGGUUUAGAAUGCCUGCCUGUCACGCAGGAGGUCGCGGGUUCGAGCCCCGUCAGUCCCG
rnacentral:tRNA from 1 species